CGCCGGAGAGUGCGGGAAGGGCGAAAAUUUCCACUCCAAAUACUAAACAAAAUCCCCAAUCUUUGACUCACGCCAAAAUCCCCAAAUCGGCCGCCUGACCUAGCCUCCUCCUCGAGCGCCCUCCGCCACCGCCGCCGCCUACCCUCCGCGGCUGCUGACCGCCCCCGCAACACCCCAAUGCCACCUCCAUCCCCGACCAUGCCACCCCAGUGCCAUCCCCUCCCGGACCACUCCACCGAGCUCCCUCCGCCGCCCCGACCACUCCCCCGAGCUCCCUCCGCCACCCCGACCACCAUUCGCCACCAGCCCUGCCGCUCGCUGGAGAUCCUCCAUCGAGCAGCGCCUUCGCUUCCAGGAGAUCUUGCUCGAGAAGCGCUGCCGCUUCCAGGAGCUGCUACCCCGAGCAGCGUCGCUGUUUCCAGAAGCUCCUUCCUGCGACGUCUUCGUCCCCUCCCCGAAGAGCGCCGACUACAUCCUCUCCCCCGAGCAGAUGCCGCUUCUGCGUUCUUUCACACGAGCAGUGCCGCGUCUACUACAUCGGGGUCUCCUCUACUUCCUCACUCCAACCCGUGAGAUUUCUCUUUGUCUUAUGAGGUUUAUUAGUCUCAGGUAUAUGUUUUGUGAUGUGUGAUAUGUGGACAGAACAAGAGCUAUAGUUUGUGAUAAUUUCUUGAAUCAUUAGAUAGAAACUACUUAAAAUAGAGUUUAAAGAAAUAAGGCGAAGAGAGUAGACUCCAAAAUGAAUGAGAUUUAAUUGAAUCAUCAGAUGGAAAGUGAGGUACUGAAAGCAGAUCGUAACCAUAUGUGUAGGCAUUUCAGAAUUCAAUAUGUUACUUGCAUCUUAGGAUUUAUGGAAUGCAGAUUGCUCUGUACUUUUAUGAGCAAGUCAGUAUUAUUACACACUACAGCCUUUUCAGUUAAAGCUAGACCAAGAAAAGCAAAGUGGCGUCUCUGCCUCUAAAUUUUAUUUUCCAUAGUCAAUAAAUUAGAAGGGGCUAGUACCUUUAAUAACAUGAAUGCGGAUUAUGUAAAGCUAGCUAGGCCAUACAUACACUUCCUAUCUCAGUCAUACAUUGGGCAAACUUUUUGUUUGGAUAUGUACUGCACUGGUUGUUCUUUGGAAGUCACUACAGAAAAUUGUAACAAUUGCGAGUUUUGUUCUGAGAAGAUUUGUGAAUAGUUCGCAGUUCUAGGACAAUUGUUUGGGCUAUCUCAAAAUAUGGCAUUUAGCUUGGAGGAGACCGUAUCAUGUGAAGAAUUCUAGGCCCUCUAUUCUAAUUUCUUCCAUAGUUAAGUUAUUAUUGCAUAGAUGUGAUGUGAACAAGAACUGAUGUACCAAUCCGACUCACACCCAUGCAUGUACAGCUUCAGGAUAUGAAUGUGAUUAUCCGAGGAUCCAUGUUGCUUAAAUUCUUUCAUUUAUCAUGGUUGUACCGUUGAUUUGGUCCUUCAAUUUGAAUUUUAAAUUAUGUAAUUAGUCUUUGUCUCCUUUGAGAAGCGCACCUCCUCCUCGUCCUCUCCACCAAGCAGCGCUGCUUUGACUACGUUGACUGCCCUGGGUAGCACCUCAUCUACAUCUUCGCGCCUAAGCAGCGUUGCCUAACCUCUAAUUCUUCGCCCAAGCAGCACUGCCUACGCCCUCUGCUUCACCGCCUGAUCAGCCCCGCCUCCUCUCCUUCUCAACCAACAGCAAGCUGCCAAAGAGAAAGAACAAGAUGCCGAGGUCCUGCAGUGGCUACGGUGGGGCGCACUGGUGUAGCCCAUGCGAGCUACACGGGAGUGAGCCACCAGGAACCAAAAGAUGCUGCCAAUAUUUAGUAGUCAGGUCAGCAAACCUGUCUUGGUAGUUCCAUCACCGAAACGAGGUACCAUAUGGAUUUGUUCUCUCUUCUAGUAGAUAAUCCAGAUUGAUAUUAUCUUUCGUGUGAUUUUGUGCUGAUGUAUGAUCCAGAAUUUGGACACAUACCCAUGUGCUAGAAGGAUCUGGUGUAGCUUGUUUAGUCAAUGCUAGACCAGUUUACAUGUAGUUCUGAAUUUUUGAUCGGUUGUACUUGCAUAUUGGAAUGAAGGUGCUAAAGUUUAGCAACUCAUACAUUUUACUUCUUUAUUUCUGUAAGUUGUGCCUUUUGGAUUUUGAAAGUUGUCGAUGGUUACAAUUAGAAUUGAAGCAAUGCUACUUUACUCCCUCCGUGAAAGUAAUGCUACUUGUACUGACUUUGUUGGGCGUUGUACUCUUUAGAUAAGUGUUGUAUCUUGCAGAUUGUUAGGAAUAUGGCUUGAAAACUUCUUUCGGGGUAAUUAGAAAAACGAACCGCUAAACUGCAUCUCAUAGAUGAACACUGCUAUUUACUGUCUCACCCGAGUGAGUUCCUAAGUAUAAACAUGCUAUGCUUGGCAUGCAGUUUUGGGGAAAAAGGAAGCAUAACAUGUGUACAAAUUGUUUGACCUUGCAUUUUACUACUUAGUAUUUACUAUACAUCCAGAAUUGUACUUGGAAGUGUCAAAAAAUUUCAUUUAUAAUCAUCGAUAGUAAUAUUGCUAUAGAUAUAUACACACACUGAAAGUCUGAAAUAAAUUCUAGAAAAGGUACAGCUAUCAUAUCUUUUGCUUUGUCCUGUAUUCAGUUUUUUAAUCUUUUCCUGGUUUGAUGUUAAUAUUUUGUUAGUUCAUAGAUGCUGCUAUUUUGUACUUCAAAAAUUUUAAACUUGAUUUUGUUUUCUCAGCAGUUCAACAAGUUUUUUUUCUCAAGCUUGUAAGUUUUGUCACAAGGAGGAGAUUGUUAGAAUGCUACAGAACUUUAAGUACAUGCAUGAUAGUAGUUGUACCUGUCAACUAGGAUGUCUACAUGAUGUUUCUUGUAUUCGUAGCAACAACACAAUCAUGUGGGGCGAGAUUAAGCUACGAUCUUCAAAAUCAAUGCAAGUUUGGUGAUUCUUCGAGAGAGACAUGUGGCUCUCUUUGAAGGACACGGUCUCACAGGAUGGUGGCGAGUCUGUUAUUCACAAGACAUCUAAUAAAGCCAUCGAACAAACGGUUGUGAACAAGCAAUUUUUCUUCCUGGACAUGCCUGCAGCUGUGCGUCAAGAUCAAACCAUUUGUAUCUUAGUUUGAACAAAAGAAAUCUUAUUGUCUUAUGUAAAUUCUGUUUACCGAUGUAGUUGGAUGCUACUGAAUGGAUCCAUGAAUGUUGAAAUAUUGAAUUUUUUUGUCAA